CUGAUUUAAUCAAGGCUUCUUCCUUCCUUUUUGUAAAACACAGAAUGUGCCUGUCGGGAGAGAACACAGACAUCUUUCUCUGCGUUUUGAAAAUGCGAAGCAGGCUUUUCGUGACUUCGGCCAGGCUACACGUGCACCACAACUAAAAGCCCUUCAGGAGCCUGCAGUGAUAGCUUGCAAUGGACCAAGACGCGCACCGCACAGCAGAAAGGGAACUGUUGGAAGCUGUAAGCAGGAUUACUACAUUUUCUACAAGCCCUUCUGAUGAAGAACAAAAUCAACCCAAAGCUGAAAUUUCACAUCAAGAGAGAAAGGAAAACCCAGAAAAAGAUGACCUGCAAGAUUCCAGUGCAUCCCUAAGUCCCAACUCUUCAAUGACCACUAAGGAGCUUCAGGAAUAUUGGAGGAGUGAAAAACGCCAGUGCAGACAAGUCAAACUCCUUUUUGAAAUCCCAUCAACCAGAAUUGUAGAGCACCACUUAUCUAAAUACGUG